rnacentral:misc_RNA from 1 species
AAAGUCGUAACAAGGUUUCCGUAGGUGAACCUGCGGAAGGAUCAUUAAUAAAUGCUUCAUUGCAUCCACCUUUUGUGCACUGUAAAUUUUUCACUUGAAUUUUGUCUGAUUAAUCUUUGUUCUGAAUGGAACAUGAAUUAUAAUCUAAUACAACUUUUAACAAUGGAUCUCUUGGUUCUG